GACGAACGCUGGCGGCGUGCUUAACACAUGCAAGUCGAACGGAAAGGCCCUGCUUGCCGGGUACUCGAGUGGCGAACGGGUGAGUAACACGUGGGUGAUCUGCCCUGCACUUCGGGAUAAGCCUGGGAAACUGGGUCUAAUACCGGAUAGGAGCCAUUUUUAGUGUGAUGGUUGGAAAGUCUUUUCGGUGUAGGAUGAGCUCGCGGCCUAUCAGCUUGUUGGUGGGGUAAUGGCCUACCAAGGCGGCGACGGGUAGCCGGCCUGAGAGGGUGGACGGCCACAUUGGGACUGAGAGACGGCACAGACUGCUACGGGAGGAAGCAGUGGGGAAGAUUGCACAAUGGGCGCAAGCCUGAUGAAGCGACGCCGCGGGGGGGAGGACGGCCUUCGGGUUGUAAACUCCUUUCGCUAGGAACGAAGCUUUUUGUGACGGUACCUAGAUAAGAAGCACCGGCUAACUACGUG
rnacentral:rRNA from 1 species